AGAUUCCAUGGAGGCAUACAUAGAACAUGUGUGCUCAUAUGCAAAGGGCAGGACCAGGCAUAGAAGAUCAGCCCUAAGAAUCACAGCCAGGAAUUAGUGAUUGUAUCAGCACCAAGGGAUCACACAGCCAGGCUUUGUGGUGGAGGAACACCACAUGACCACAUUCAAUUUCUUCUUUGAAAUGGCCUGUUCACUAUGGCAGAGAACUCAGGAGCUCUGCUGUCACUUCACACCUGAUAUUUAUGAGCCCAAAGCAAUGGGAGAUUCAGGACAAAGCAGCAGACUUCAAAGCCAGUGCAAGCCACACACAGACGUGGAGAACAGGAGCUCCACCUGCCCCAACAUUGAAUGACAAGGAAUAGGAAUGGAAGCCAGAGCUGGCCACAGCCUGCUGGGGACUGUGGGCAGAGCAGGACAAUACUCAGCAAGAGGUUGCCACUGUCUGAAGCCUGCUCCAGACAUGUGUGGCAAUAAAGGGAUACAGUAACUACAAUCAUAAUCCUGAGACAACAGAGGAUAAAACAUUAAAAACAUCUCAAUA